GGCAAGUGGGCCAGCUGGUUGGGGCUCACUUGGCAAGGGGACGCGGGGAUGAGGGGCGCGGACGCAGGCCCGGGAGGACGCGGCGGCGGGAAUCUGGGGGCGCAGGGCUAGGGCAGCGGGCCCGGCCCGCACGGCUUUCCUGGAAAGCGCUGCCCCUCGCCGCGGCGAUGCCCUCGCUGUGGAGAGAAAUCCUCUUGGAGUCGCUGCUGGGAUAUGUUUCUUGGUCUCUCUACCAUGACCUGGGACCGAUGAUCUAUUACUUUCCUUUGCAAACACUAGAACUCACUGGGCUUGAAGGUUUUAGUAUAGCAUUUCUUUCUCCAAUAUUCCUAACAAUUACUCCUUUCUGGAAAUUGGUUAACAAGAAGUGGAUGCUAACCCUGCUGAGGAUAAUCACUAUUGGCAGCAUAGCCUCCUUCCAGGCUCCAAAUGCCAAACUUCGACUGAUGGUUCUUGCACUUGGGGUGUCUUCCUCACUGAUAGUGCAAGCUGUGACUUGGUGGUCAGGAAGUCAUUUGCAAAGGUACCUCAGAAUUUGGGGAUUCAUUUUAGGACAGAUUGUUCUUGUUGUUCUACGCAUAUGGUAUACUUCACUAAACCCAAUCUGGAGUUAUCAGAUGUCCAACAAAGUGAUACUGACAUUAAGUGCCAUAGCCACACUUGAUCGUAUUGGCACAGAUGGUGACUGCAGUAAACCUGAAGAAAAGAAGACUGGUGAGGUAGCCACGGGGAUGGCCUCUAGACCCAACUGGCUGCUGGCAGGGGCUACUUUUGGUAGCCUUGUGUUCCUCACCCACUGGGUUUUUGGAGAAGUCUCUCUUGUUUCCAGAUGGGCAGUGAGUGGGCAUCCACAUCCAGGGCCAGAUCCUAACCCAUUUGGAGGUGCAGUACUGCUGUGCUUGGCAAGUGGAUUGAUGCUUCCAGCUUGUUCGUGGUUUCGUGGUACUGGUUUGAUCUGGUGGGUUACAGGAACAGCUUCAGCUGCGGGGCUCCUUUACCUGCACACAUGGGCAGCUGCUGUGUCUGGCUGUGUCUUUGCCGUCUUUACUGCAUCCAUGUGGCCUCAAACACUUGGACACCUUAUUAACUCAGGGACAAACCCUGGGAAAACCAUGACCAUUGCCAUGAUAUUUUAUCUUCUAGAAAUAUUUUUUUGUGCCUGGUGCACAGCUUUUAAGUUUGUCCCAGGAGGUGUCUACGCUAGAGAAAGAUCAGAUGUGCUUUUGGGGACAAUGAUGUUAAUUAUUGGGCUGAAUAUGCUAUUUGGUCCUAAGAAAAACUUUGACUUGCUUCUUCAAACAAAAAACAGUUCUAAAGUGCUUUUCAGAAAGAGUGAAAAAUACAUGAAACUUUUUCUGUGGCUGCUUGUUGGUGUGGGAUUGUUGGGAUUAGGACUACGGCAUAAAGCCUAUGAGAGAAAACUGGGCAAAGUGGCACCAACUAAAGAGGUCUCUGCUGCCAUCUGGCCUUUCAGGUUUGGAUAUAACAAUGAAGGGUGGUCUAGUCUAGAAAGAUCAGCUCACCUGCUCAAUGAAACAGGUGCAGAUUUCAUAACAAUUUUGGAGAGUGAUGCUUCUAAGCCCUAUAUGGGGAACAAUGACUUAACCAUGUGGCUAGGGGAGAAGUUGGGUUUCUAUACAGACUUUGGUCCAAGCACAAGGUAUCACACUUGGGGGAUUAUGGCUUUGUCAAGAUACCCAAUUGUGAAAUCUGAGCAUCACCUUCUUCCGUCACCAGAGGGCGAGAUCGCACCAGCCAUCACAUUGACCGUUAACAUUUCGGGCAAGCUGGUGGAUUUUGUCGUGACACACUUUGGGAACCACGAAGAUGACCUCGACAGGAAACUGCAGGCUAUUGCUGUUUCAAAACUACUGAAAAGUAGCUCUAAUCAAGUGAUAUUUCUGGGAUAUAUCACUUCAGCACCUGGCUCCAGAGAUUAUCUACAGCUCACUGAACAUGGCAAUGUGAAGGAUAUCGACAGCACUGAUCAUGACAGAUGGUGUGAAUACAUUAUGUAUCGAGGGCUGAUCAGGUUGGGUUAUGCAAGAAUCUCCCAUGCUGAACUGAGUGAUUCAGAAAUUCAGAUGGCAAAAUUUAGGAUUCCUGAUGACCCCACUAAUUAUAAAGACAACCAGAAAGUGGUCAUAGACCGCAGAGAAGUUCCUGAGAAAAUUCAUUUUAAUCCCAGAUUUGGAUCCUACAAAGAAGGUCACAAUUAUGAAAACAACCAUCAUUUUCAUAUGAAUACUCCCAAAUACUUUUUAUGAAACAUUUAAAACAAGAAGUUAUUGGCUGGGCAAAUCUAAGUAAAAAAGUGUGUAAGAUAAAAACAAGAGAUUAAUGAAAGUGGGAAAAUACACAUGAAGAACCUCAACUUAAAAAAACAUGGGAAGAGGUAUCACUAUGUUUCCCAAACUGGUCUCAAACUUCUGGGCUCAAGCAAUCCUCCCACCAGCCUCCCAAACUGCUGGGAUUACAAGCGUGAGUCACUGCA